UAAGAGGUCCCACCUGCCCACUGACUAUAUGUUUAACGGCCGCGGUAUUUUAACCGUGCGAAGGUAGCGCAAUCACUUGUUCUUUAAAUAGGGACCUGUAUGAAUGGCACAACGAGGGCUUGACUGUCUCCUUUUUCAAGUCAAUGAAAUUGAUCUCCCCGUGCAGAAGCGGGGAUGAGACCAUAAGACGAGAAGACCCUGUGGAGCUUUAGACACUAAAACAGCCCAUGUUAUAAUGGCCCCCUUACAAAGGAUUAAACUGAGUGAGGCCUGUCUUGAUGUCUUCGGUUGGGGCGACCCCGAGGAAUAAAAAAACCCCCGGGCGGACAGGGGCACUAUACCCUAAAACCAAGAGCCACCCCUCUAAUUAACAGAACUUCUGACCAGUUAGAUCCGGCAAGACCGAUUAACGGACCAAGUUACCCCAGGGAUAACAGCGCAAUCCCCUUUAGAGCCCUUAUCGACAAGGGGGCUUACGACCUCGAUGUUGGAUCAGGACAUCCUAAUGGUGUAACCGCUAUUAAGGGUUCGUUUGUUCAACG
rnacentral:rRNA from 1 species